UUAUAUAAAUGUAUUAAUUUCACACAAAAUCUCCCUCUUUAUCAAAUUAUAUAUUAAUUUUGUAUUCUGGUAACUCUUCUAAUAUAAAUUUAUGUUAUUUGAGAUGUUUUCUAUGCCUAUAUGUGCAUUUCUUCAGUGUUUGUUGUAAUUGUUAAAAUUGGUACGUGGCCCCUUUAAGAGUGGGAGUAUGUUUCAGUUCCGGUUGCUCUCCUUCAGUUCGCGCUAAGCGCGGUGAAGGAGAGGUGAGUUGUGCUGAAGUUCUCACUAAAAACAGUUUAAUUUGAGUCUAUUUCUUGAAUAAGCAUGUAUUUUUGUUAAAAAAUGCUUUAUAAUGUUACUGAAACACAAAUAGUUUGAUGAGAUUGUGUAAGUAAGUACUUUAUGAAGUGAGUUUAUUAACUGUAUGUGUUAGCUCCGUGGCGAAUAUAAUCCCUUUGACUGGCAGGUCUGUGUUAAGUGUGAGGAAAAAGGCUAUGGAUUGAGUUUUUUAUUAAUUUCAUUUUCAUUCUCAUUCAGGUAUGUUUUCUAUCCAUGGUUAUGUUAAUGUUGUUGUUUUGAAUUCAUGUAAAAUGUCUUAUAUUGAGAGAAAUGUUAAAGACUUUUGAUCUCUAAUUACAUACAGUUUAUUUGAAAAUUGUAAUAUAAAUUCAAUUCGCGCUAAGCGCGGUGAAGGAGAGAUUGUUUGAUGAGAUUGUGUCUGUGUUAAGUGUGAGGAAAAAGGCUAUGGAUUGAGUUUUUUAUUAAUUUCAUUUUCAUUCUCAUUCAGGUAUGUUUUCUAUCCAUGGUUAUGUUAAUGCUGUUGUUUUGAAUUUAUGUAAAAUGUCUUAUAUUGAGAGAAAUGUUAAAGACUUUUGAUCUCUAAUUACAUACAGUUUAUUUGAAAAUUGUAGUAUAAAUUCAAUUCGCGCUAAGCGCGGUGAAGGAGAGGUCUGUGUUAAGUGUGAGGGAAAAGGCCAUGGAUUGAGUUUUUUAUUCAUUUCAUUUUCAUUCUCAUUCAGAAUAAAAUAGGAAAACGUGGUCUAAGGAAAGUCUGUUGUCCGGUCUCCUUAUUUAUCAUCACAA